CUCUAUCCGAGUGUGCUGCGAAUGGGUCAUUAAAUCUCUUAUCUUUUUUUUGAUAUUACCUUACUACUUGGAUAUCCGUGGUAAUUCUUAGAGCUAAUACAUGCUAAAAACCCCAACUUUCGGAAGGGGUGUAUUUAUUUAUAUAAAAAACCAACGCCCUUCGGGGCUCCUUGGUGAUUCAUAAUAACUAAACGAAUCGCAUGGCCUUGCGCCGGCGAUGGUUCAUUCAAAUUUCUGCCCUAUCAACUUUCGAUGGUAGGAUAGUGGCCUACCAUGGUAUCAACGGGUAACGGGGAAUUAGGGUUCUAUUCCGGAUAGGGAGCCUGAGAAACGGCUACCACAUUCAAGGAAGGCAGAGGCGCGCAAAUUACCCAAUCCCGACACGGGGAGGUAGUGACAAUAAAUACUGAUACAGGGCUCUUUUGGCUCUUCGUAAUUGGUAUGAGUGAUGAUUAUAAUCCCUUUCCUAGUGCACAAUUGGAGGGCAAGUCUGGUGCCGGUCAGCCCGUCGGUCAUUCCAGCUCCAAUAGCGUAUAUUAAAGUUGUUGUCUGUUAAAAAGCUCGUAGUCGAACGUUGAGCCUGGCUGGUCGGUCUGCCUGACCCUUGUACUGGUCCCGUCUGUCCUGUCCUUCUGGCUAUGCGCACAUGCAUUCUUGACUGGGUCGUGUCGGCGGGACCCGUGACUUUUACUUUUGACUUAUUAGAGUAGAUCAUGCAAGCUCGCCUUUGCUCGACAUACAUUAAUCAGCAUGGAAUAAUCGGAUAGAGUACGUUCGGUUUUAUUUUGUCUGGUUUGUAUGGGCCGCCGAGUAAUGAUUAGUGACGGAUAGUCGGGGGCAUCGGUAUUCAGUCUGUCAGAGGUGAAAUUUCUUGGAUUUAUUGAUAGACUAACUACUGAACGACUGCAUAUUGCCAAUUGUUUUCUUUCAUUAAUCAUUAGAACGAAAGUUAGGGUGAUCGAAGACUACGAUCACGAUCACCUAUCGUAGUCUUAAUACCAUAACACUAUCCGAUCUCGGAGUAUCGGGAUCGAUGGAUGUUAUCAUUUUUGACUCGCUAUCCGCACCGUUACGAUAUAAUCAAAGUCAUUUGGGUUGUGGUGCGGGAGUAUGGUCUGCGAUCGGCUGAGACUUAAACGUAAAUUGACUGACGGGCACGACCACGGGUGCGAGUCGUGGCGGAUUAAUUUGACUCGACGUGGGGCAGCUCACCCUGUCCAGACACGAUAAGGAUUGACUGAUCGAGCGCUCUUUCUUGAUUUUGAUGGGUGGUGGUGGCAUGUUCAGUUCUUAGUGGGUGAGUGAUUUGUUUGAUUAGGUGCAGAUAACGGUAGCGGAUCCCCUAACCUGCUAAAUAGCCCGGCCCGCUCUGUCGGGUCGCCGGUUUUUGAGAGGGACUAUCGGUUCAAGCCGAUGGAAUUUGGAGCCAAUACCAGUUCUGGGGAUGCCUUUGGAUGUUUGGGCCGGCACGCGCGUUCCACUGACAGAUCCAAGGAUUUCAUUCCCUGGCCCGGAAGGCCGGGGUAUUCUUGUUAAAUUCUGUCGAGGGGGGGAUAGAUCGCAUCACAAUUAUGUCUUUUCAACGGAGGAAUGCAUUGUAAGCGAGUGUUAUCAGCGUGCGUUGAUUAUGUCCCCUGCCCCUUUGCACACCGCCCUGUCUCUACUACCGAUUGAAAUUCCGAGAAGGCCUUCGGAGCGCCCAGGGAGGUGGUCACCGCCCGCCCAGGGCCGGAAAGUUCACAAACUCCGUCA
rnacentral:rRNA from 1 species